UACGGGGGGAGCAAGCGUUGUUCGGAUUUACUGGGCGUAAAGGGCGCGUAGGCGGCUCUGCAAGUCAGUUGUGAAAUCUCCGGGCUUAACCCGGAAAGGUCAACUGAUACUGCAGGGCUAGAGUGCAGAAGGGGCAACUGGAAUUCUCGGUGUAGCGGUGAAAUGCGUAGAUAUCGAGAGGAACACCUGCGGCGAAGGCGGGUUGCUGGGCUGACACUGACGCUGAGGCGCGAAAGCCAGGGGAGCGAACGGG
rnacentral:rRNA from 1 species